GCGCGGCUGGUCUAAUGGCUAUGACUCUAGCCUUCCAAGCUAGCGAUCCGGGUUCAAUUCCCGGGCCGCGCA
rnacentral:tRNA from 1 species